GUAAGGGUUUGCUGAGCAAAUGAAUGCUAAAGUGUAAACAAGGCUUCUCAAGUCUGCCUAAGAGCCUGCAAAGGACGACCUGCUCACAGGGCUUGGAAGCAAUCCUUUUUCAUGCUAAUUACAAACCCAUUCGGUAUUUGUGAAAUCGGGUCCCUCUGGGAUUUCUAUUUGCCAACAAGUUGUUUAUUUCCAGUGUAAAGGGGGUGGAGGGUCUAUGAAUUAUUGAGCAGCUACAAUGCCUUUGCCUGCACUCAGUGAGAGAUGGUCUAUCUUUAUCUUCACAGGCAUUCUUGGAGCCAAGCUUUGCCCCAUCCGCACCUGUGGAAUGGAGAUGUAGCCCCAAGGUGCAGAGCUGGAUUAAACGCAGGAAACGCUGAAAUGGGAAAUUAGAAGAGAAGGCUGACAGACAUUUGGAGCUUGGUG
rnacentral:lncRNA from 1 species